GGUAGGGGGCUGUGGCCCUCAGAUUCUCGGGCAUCCGUCUUGGCAGUUGCUGGAGUUUGUCAUUCCAUCAGCAUCUUCUUCCUCCCGGGUUCUGCGAGCUUCAUCAGCUCGCCUUCAUUCUCACCCGGCUCAUCUCGUUCCGCGUUCUCUCGGUCCUUGCGGCCAUUCUUGUGGCCCAGAGUUUUGUCUCCCCUUUGUGUCCCCUCGUCUGUUGUCUUGUGUGUCACGGGUGUCUGGGUGUAGUUGUCCCGGAGCUGCUCUGCCCUGCUGCCCAGCCUGGGUGUAGGUGUAAAAGGCCGAGUCCUAGGCCCCUGUAAUUUGAAAUUUGUCAUGUAGGGUGUGGUUGGAGUCUAGAGGGUGUUCCUAGAUUGACACAAGAUGUGUGGAGCUGUAAAGUUAUCCUGCAGCACUUUGAUUUUUGUCUUAGCUUUCUUUCAGAUGCAGAUGGAUGAAAUCGGUGGCAGAGCGCCCCAUCCAGGGUAAGGGGGUUCCCCCGAGAAGGAAGUAGAGCCAGCUAGCAGCAGUCAAGGCGAAGUGGGCAAGGCGGUCCAGUCACAUUUCGCUGAGAUCCCCUCGCCAACCGGCCGGCACAGCUGUUUCACCGCUCCCGUGAGCCCGGCGGAAGCUUUACGGGACCGUGAGACGGAGCCUUUUCCACGUAAAGGGGUCGUGUUUGUGGCCUUGAGGAACAGGCCG